CACGUAGGGUGCGAGCGUUGUCCGGAAUUAUUGGGCGUAAAGAGCUCGUAGGCGGUGUGUCGCGUCGGCCGUGAAAACCUGCAGCUUAACUGUGGGCCUGCGGUCGAUACGGGCAUCACUGGAGUUCGGCAGGGGAGACUGGAAUUCCUGGUGUAGCGGUGAAAUGCGCAGAUAUCAGGAGGAACACCGGUGGCGAAGGCGGGUCUCUGGGCCGAUACUGACGCUGAGGAGCGAAAGCGUGGGGAGCGAACAGG
rnacentral:rRNA from 1 species